AUACGUAGGGUGCGAGCGUUAAUCGGAAUUACUGGGCGUAAAGCGUGCGCAGGCGGUUUUGUAAGACCGUGGGUAAAAACCCCGGCGCAACCUGGGAACUGCCAUUGUGACUGCCAGGCUGGAGUGUCGGAGAGGGGGAUGGAAUUCCGCGUGUAGAGGGGAAAUGCGUAGAUAUGCGGAGGAACACAGAUGGCGAAGGCAAUCCCCUGGGCCUGCACUGACGCUCAGGCACGAAAGCGUGGGGAGCAAACAGGAUUAGAUACCCUGGUAGUCCACGCCCUAAACGAUGUCAACUGGUUGUUGGGAAUUUAUUUUCUCAGUAACGAAGCUAACGCGUGAAGUUGACCGCCUGGGGAGUACGGCCGCAAGGUUAAAACUCAAAGGAAUUGACGGGG
rnacentral:rRNA from 1 species